rnacentral:rRNA from 1 species
GACGAACGCUGGCGGCGUGCCUAAUACAUGCAAGUUGAGCGAUGAAGAUUGGUGCUUGCCCCAAUUUGAAGAGCAGCGAACGGGUGAGUAACGCGUGGGGAAUCUGCCUUUGAGCGGGGGACAACAUUUGGAAACGAAUGCUAAUACCGCAUAACAACUUUAAACAUAAGUUUUAAGUUUGAAAAAUGCAAUUGCAUCACUCAAAGAUGAUCCCGCGUUGUAUUAGCUAGUUGGUGAGGUAAAGGCUCACCAAGGCGAUGAUACAUAGCCGACCUGAGAGGGUGAUCGGCCACAUUGGGACUGAGACACGGCCCAAACUCCUACGGGAGGCAGCAGUAGGGAAUCUUCGGCAAUGGACGAAAGUCUGACCGAGCAACGCCGCGUGAGUGAAGAAGGUUUUCGGAUCGUAAAACUCUGUUGGUAGAGAAGAACGUUGGUGAGAGUGGAAAGCUCAUCAAGUGACGGUAACUACCCAGAAAGGGACGGCUAACUACGUG